AUUGAACGCUGGCGGCAGGCUUAACACAUGCAAGUCGAGCGGGGUGAUGGUGCUUGCACUAUCACUUAGCGGCGGACGGGUGAGUAAUGCUUAGGAAUCUGCCUAUUAGUGGGGGACAACAUCUCGAAAGGGAUGCUAAUACCGCAUACGUCCUACGGGAGAAAGCAGGGGAUCACUUGUGACCUUGCGCUAAUAGAUGAGCCUAAGUCGGAUUAGCUAGUUGGUGGGGUAAAGGCCUACCAAGGCGACGAUCUGUAGCGGGUCUGAGAGGAUGAUCCGCCACACUGGGACUGAGAAACGGCCCAGACUCCUACGGGAGGCAGCAGUGGGGACUAUUGGACAAUGGGGGGAACCCUGAUCCAGCCAUGCCGCGUGUGUGAAGAAGGCCUUAUGGUUGUAAAGCACUUUAAGCGAGGAGGAGGCUCUUUUGGUUAAUACCCAAGAUGAGUGGACGUUACUCGCAGAAUAAGCACCGGCUAACUCUGUGCCAGCCGCCGCGGUAA
rnacentral:rRNA from 1 species